rnacentral:rRNA from 1 species
GACGAACGCUGGCGGCGUGCCUAAUACAUGCAAGUUGAGCGAUGAAGAUUGGUGCUUGCACCAAUUUGAAGAGCAGCGAACGGGUGAGUAACGCGUGGGGAAUCUGCCUUUGAGCGGGGGACAACAUUUGGAAACGAAUGCUAAUACCGCAUAACAACUUUAAACAUAAGUUUUAAGUUUGAAAGAUGCAAUUGCAUCACUCAAAGAUGAUCCCGCGUUGUAUUAGCUAGUUGGUGAGGUAAAGGCUCACCAAGGCGAUGAUACAUAGCCGACCUGAGAGGGUGAUCGGCCACAUUGGGACUGAGACACGGCCCAAACUCCUACGGGAGGCAGCAGUAGGGAAUCUUCGGCAAUGGACGAAAGUCUGACCGAGCAACGCCGCGGGAGUGAAGAAGGUUGUCGGAUCGUAAAACUCGGUUGGUAGAGAAGAACGUUGGUGAGAGUGGAAAGCUCAUCAAGUGACGGUAACUACCCAGAAAGGGACGGCUAACUACGUG